rnacentral:rRNA from 1 species
UACGUAGGGGGCAAGCGUUGUCCGGAAUCAUUGGGCGUAAAGAGCGUGUAGGCGGCCAGGUAGGUCCGUUGUGAAAACUCGAGGCUCAACCUCGAGACGUCGGCGGAAACCCUCUGGCUAGAGUCCGGAAGAGGAGAGUGGAAUUCCUGGUGUAGCGGUGAAAUGCGCAGAUAUCAGGAAGAACACCCGUGGCUAAGGCGGCUCUCUAGUACGGUACUGACGCUGAGACGCGAAAGCGUGGGGAGCGAACAGG